UACGUAGGGUGCAAGCGUUGUCCGGAAUUAUUGGGCGUAAAGAGCUCGUAGGCGGUUCGUCGCGUCGGCUGUGAAAACCCGGAGCUCAACUCCGGGCCUGCAGUCGAUACGGGCGGACUUGAGUGUUGCAGGGGAGACUGGAAUUCCUGGUGUAGCGGUGAAAUGCGCAGAUAUCAGGAGGAACACCGGUGGCGAAGGCGGGUCUCUGGGCCGAUAUUGACGCUGAGGAGCGAAAGCGUGGGGAGCGAACAGG
rnacentral:rRNA from 1 species